GUGGAUUAAUCGGUCGUAUAAUAAAGGUAACGGUGCUCUAUUUUACUCUGUCGAAUACGAAGUGACACGAUACCCGGCUUCCGUUCCGUGCGACCGCGUUUCAAUAUAUUCGUAAAUGACACUGGCCUUAACUUCGCACGUAUAUACGUGGGUGCGUCCUCUCUCUGUUCUCCAGUUACUCUUUCUUCCUCUUUCCCUCUUUCUUUCUCUUUCUCCCUUUGUCUUUUCCUCCCUUUCGUUCUCCACUACCCCUUUCUCGGUUUUUGCCGGGCGUUUCGAUCAACGUUGCGAUCGCGUCGAAUGCGCGACGAUCAAUGGGGCAUAAAUGCGCGUUGAAACAGAGAGAUUCUCGUCCGAGUUUUCCGUACACCUAUCGGAAGCGCGAACGCAAAUACGGGAAUACGGAAGAGAAAACACACACGUCUAAGAGCAGCGUGCUACGCUGACGGCGGUUAUAUCGGCCAGGAUAUCUAUCCAGAACGCGCGCUGGGAACACUGAUAUUAUUUUUAUAACAACGCGGUGCGCGGCCGUCCUAGGCCGCGCCCAAUAUACCCCCACCCUCGACUAGGUUCCCUCCCCUCCACUAACUGUUUCUCCCUCCCCAGUUCAAGGGGAAGCUUCGCUCGUUCGUCCCCACCAAAGACACAGCAUCGUACCGGCGUGUGAGACUCGAGAGAAGGGUGAAUAGGAAAAAGUUCUCGACUAUCCUGCGUGGGUAUAUCAAAGCCGGAACAUUUUCUUCGCGUGAACACCAUGUUGCUUCGAUCGUUUUUUCCAUCGCCAUAUUUAACACGAAUUCUCCACUUUGAAUAAAGGCUCUACGGCACUUCAAGAGCACUUCUCUGAUCAACUUGUAAGCUGAAAAGGGGGAGAUUACAAGUGCCCAACCACCGUGACUUUUUAAAAGACAUAGCUGUCAGUGAGCAAAGUAGAAAGGCUGGGAAAAGUGACUCACCUCCAACCACUGCCAACUUGGCCAACUGAAGAUUCUGGUAGGGCGUCGCCGCUACCCCUAAAACAAGGAAAUGGGAAGCUGUAAGAUAGGUAAGGAUACAGGAUAAUAAGGAUAUAAUUUAGGAUAAGAUAUACAAUUAGGAUACACAUUAAGGAUAAGGAUAAUCUUAUUUUCGUUAAUAUAUCGUUUCCUCAUAUG